CCUACGGGUGGCAGCAGUGGGGAAUAUUGGGCAAUGGGCGCAAGCCUGACCCAGCAACGCCGCGUGAAGGAAGAAUGCUUUCGGGUUGUAAACUUCUUUUGUCAGGGACGAAGCAAGUGACGGUACCUGACGAAUAAGCCACGGCUAACUACGGGCCAGCAGCCGCGGUAAUACGUAGGGGGCAAGCGUUAUCCGGAUUUACUGGGUGUAAAGUGCGUGUAGGCGGGACUGCAAGUCAGAUGGGAAAACCACGGGCUCAACCUGUGGCCUGCAUUUGAAACUGUAGUUCUUGAGUACUGGAGAGGCAGGCAGAAUUCCUGGUGUAGCGGUGAAAUGCGUAGAUAUUUGGAGGAACACCAGUGGCGAAGGCGGUCUGCUGGACGGCAACUGACGCUGAGGUGCGAAAGCGUGGGGAGCAAACAGGAUUAGAUACCCCUGUAGUC
rnacentral:rRNA from 1 species